rnacentral:rRNA from 1 species
UAGGGAAUCUUCCGCAAUGGACGCAAGUCUGACGGAGCAACGCCGCGUGAGUGAAGAAGGAUUUCGGUUCGUAAAACUCUGUUGUUAGAGAAGAACAGCGCAUAGAGUAACUGUUAUGCGUGUGACGGUAUCUAACCAGAAAGCCACGGCUAACUACGUGCCAGCAGCCGCGGUAAUACGUAGGUGGCAAGCGUUGUCCGGAUUUAUUGGGCGUAAAGCGAGCGCAGGCGGUCAAUUAAGUCUGAUGUGAAAGCCCCCGGCUCAACCGGGGAGGGUCAUUGGAAACUGUUUAACUUGAGUGCAGAAGGGGAGAGUGGAAUUCCAUGUGUAGCGGUGAAAUGCGUAGAUAUAUGGAGGAACACCGGUGGCGAAAGCGACUCUCUGGUCUGUAACUGACGCUGAGGCUCGAAAGCGUGGGUAGCAAACAGG